UACGUAGGGGGCAAGCGUUGUCCGGAUUUACUGGGCGUAAAGCGCCUGUAGGCGGCCUGUCAAGUCCGGCCUGAAAGCCCCCCGCUCAACGGGGGAGGGUGGCUGGAAACUGGCAGGCUUGAGGGCGAGAGAGGAGGGUGGAAUUCCUGGUGUAGCGGUGAAAUGCGUAGAUAUCAAGAGGAACACCUGAGGUGAAGACGGGUUGCUGGGCUGACACUGACGCUGAGGCGCGAAAGCCAGGGGAGCAAACGGG
rnacentral:rRNA from 1 species